rnacentral:rRNA from 1 species
GACGAACGCUGGCGGUGUGCUUAACACAUGCAAGUGGUGCGACGAACCAGAGCUUGCUCUGGGGCAAAGCCGCGAACGGGUGAGUAACACGUGGGUAAUCUACCCCGAUGACCGGGACAACCCGAGGAAACUCGGGCUAAUACCGGAUGUGGUGCGGAGACAUAAGUCUCUUCACUAAAGGUAGCUUCGGCUUCCGCAUUGGGAGGGGCCCGCGGCCCAUUAGCUUGUUGGUGGGGUCAAGGCCUACCAAGGCAACGAUGGGUAGCUGGUCUGAGAGGACGAUCAGCCACACUGGGACUGAGACACGGCCCCGACUCCUACGGGAGGCAGCAGUGGGGAAUCUUGCGCAAUGCGCGAAAGCGUGACGCAGCAACACCGCGUGAGGGAAGAAGGCCUUAGGGUUGUAAACCUCUUUCAGAUGGGACGAAGGUUCUCCGGUGAAUAGCCGAGAGGAUUGACGGUACCGUCAGAAGAAGCUCCGGCUAACUACGUG